UAAAAAGAGAUAAUUGUAAUUGCUGAUCAUUGGAGGGUGCCACGCAGAAUUUAGAGCAACUUGAAAUACUGUUGUUAUCACACGAUGGUAAUUACGGUGCCCUUCGUAAGGAGUUUUGACGUAACGUUCAGCAAAUAAAUAUUGCAAAUAAAUUGCAGGAACUAUGGAAAAAGGAUUUUGAGAUAACUCCCAUUGGAAAUGAGGUUUCCGUUGAUAAAGGAAAUGGGAAGUAUAUUUGUCAAGAUCAGGGGAAAGGAAAAGCAAAAGAAGUGACAAAUGAUGAGGCUGGUGAAAAAGAAAAGAGAGAGUUUUGGAUAAAAUAUUCAGAUCUUGCCAUUUUGGAUUCGCAAGAAAAUGAUGCAGACAGAAUCAUGGCUGCAGUUAUGACGGCUGAUACAAGUUCAGUUGUUAAUCUUACUACUACAGCUGCCAAUGCUGCUUCUACUUCUAUUUCCCAAGUGGAUCCUACCGCUAUUAAGCCUAGAGUUAAUUUUUUUUUGGAUGCAAACAGAAUCAUAGCUGCAGCUAUGACGGCUGAUACAAGUUCAGUUGUUAAUCUUACUACUUCAGAUGUCAAUUGUGAUGUCCCGCCACAAUUCCAACCUGAUUUGACGUCCGAAUAGGGGUGGAAGGAUCUAGAGUCUUGAAGAGGUUUGCAGAGAACUCUAGAACCUUCUAGUUUUGUGGAGAAGACUAGAGAAUUCCUUAAUUAGAUCUUUUUGGAAGAGAUUAGCAUAUUCUAGAAAAUGUAGAAUUCUCUAGAAUAUAGACUAUAGUGUAGUUAUUAGAAGGACUUAUAGAGUAAAUUUUAUUUACACUUAGGCCCUUAGGAUGUAGUAUAAAUAGGAGGGCCUCUCAUUUGUAAAUCAUUCAUCCAACAAUCCAACCAAGAGUUGUAAGAAAAGCUUCCAAGCUUAAUACAAGCCCUCUUUCAAAGUUCUUUCUAAGUCUUUCUUUACAUUCUCUUAGCGUUCCGAGUCUUAAAGGAUUACUUGAGCUUAUAAGAUCGUGAAAGAUUCGUGAGUAAGUUGUCGAGUGCCGCACGGAGUCUUAGCAAAUAUUCUAAGUCCGUGACACAAUGUUGCUUCUACUUGGAUCCUACCGCUGUUAAGCCUACAGUUAAAAAAUUUUUGUUAUACCUGAACAAGAGGACUGAUGAUGAUGAUAAGCUGUGGGAUGUAUCUGCAACGCCUAAUUGAACCAAAGCAUCUGUUGAUUCAGCGGUACAAAAGUCCGAGAACACUCUUCGGACCCUUGACACGAGAAUUGCUAUAACCGAACAUUUCCAUGAGCAACUCAGAAAACAGCUUACGAAGUUGAAGGAGGGACAAACAUAAUUUGACAUUACUACUUUCUAUCCUACUGCAUAUCUCAAAUGUAUGACUUUUUUGUUAAUAGCAAUUGUGUAGCUCAUUGUUAAUUGAUUCAUUCGUGCAAGUGUCUUUUUGUGGA